rnacentral:lncRNA from 1 species
AACAAAAUGAGGUAAUAAGUUAAUGUAUGUACACGUUAUAAACACUGUGUCAGUUUACGAUGGCAGCAACGGAAGUUGUUACAAAGAAAGUGACUGCGGGGUGGAGUGUGUCUAGAAGCAUUUGCGGUGGACGAUGGAAGGGCCGGCCUCGUCGUACUCCUGCUUGGUGAUCCACAUCUGCUGGAAGGUGGACAGCGAGG